rnacentral:rRNA from 1 species
AAUGAACGUUGGCGGCGUGGAUUAGGCAUGCAAGUCGAGCGAGAAUUUGCGAUUGGAAGCUUCGGCCGAAGAAAGUGAAGGAAAGCGGCAAACGGCGUAGUAAGGCGUAGGUACGUACCCUCGGGUCGGGAAUAGCCAUGGGAAACUGUGGGUAAUGCCCGAUAAUCUCUGCGGAGCAAAGGUGUGAUUCCGCCGGAGGAGCGGCUUACGUGAUAUUAGCUAGUUGGUGGGGUAAUGACCUACCAAGGCAACGAUGUCUAGGGGGUGUGAGAGCAUGGCCCCCACGACCGGAACUGAGACACUGUCCGGACACCUACGGGUGGCUGCAGUCGAGAAUCUUCCGCAAUGGGCGAAAGCCUGACGGAGCGACGCCGCGUGGUGGAUGAAGGCCCUUGGGUUGUAACACCUGUCAGAGGGGAUGAAAUCAUGGUUGGCAAUCCUUCCAUGUUGACAGAGCCUCAGAGGAAGCACGGGCUAAGUACGUGCCAGCAGCCGACGG